rnacentral:lncRNA from 1 species
UGAAAUACUCUGAAUCUAGCUGGUUUUGCACAUUAUGCGGAGAUGGUGUUGUACCCAGAAUAAUGCCAUGCCGUAUGUAUCAUGGCGAAAGUUCUGAAGGCAAAAUCUUUGACGGUUUUACUAAGCAUAUCAAAGAGUAGAGAUCAUGCGGAACAUGUAAGCAAGAAUCUUUCCCUCCCUCUGUUGGAAUAUGUUUUUAUAUAAUAAUAAGGGGAUCUUCAUUUAGCAUAUCAUUAAAAACCAUGUUGAGAAUAGACAGUAGAAUACAAUUCGUUUCGCUAUCUCUUAAUACCUAACUUGACCCCAUGUUUUGCUUGCUUUGUCAAGCAGGAGAUGGAGAGGGUGAGAUAUCCUUUAAGCAUUGAUAUGGAGC